CAAUAGCCUAACGGCUGAACCAGCAACUUGGAGGAAUGUAUAGCGAUAGCUAAUUGCAUCGAAAAUAUGAUGCAAGAUCGAUUUAUUGAAUAAAAUUCUGGGUAGAAUUAUGAUUAUGACAUUGUCUACCCAUGUGUCUUGACCAAAUUACGUGCCAGCAGUCGCGGUAAUACGUAGAAGACUAGUGUUAUUCAUCUUUAAUAGGUUUAAAGGGUACCUAGACGGUAAAUCAAGCCCUAGACGGGACUAAUUUGCUAGAGUUACUUGUGAGGGGGUUUUAAAGUACUAAUGGUGUAGAGAUGAAAUUUUGUAAUACCAUUUUUCGAAAGGAAAGUAAUGGCACAGGUAUAGGCGAAAGCAUCCCCUUAUGUGAUAACUGACGUUGAAGGACGAAGGCUUUGAGUCGCGAACAGGAUUAGAUACCCUGGUAGUCAAAGCAGAAAAUAAUGAGUGUCAUAGAUUAGAUAUUAAAGUUUAUUCUAUAAAUGAAAGUGUAAGCACUCCACCUCAAGAGUAAUUUGGCAACAUUGGAACUGAAAUCAUUAGACCGUUUCUGAAACCAGUAGUGAAGUAUGUUGUUUAAUUUGAUAAUCCGCAAAAAACCUUACCACAAUUUGAAUAUUUAUAUCGUUGAUAUAAUUACAAGCGUUGCACGGCUGUCUUCAGUUAAUGUCGUGAGAUUUUGGUUAGAUCCAUUAAAUUAACGCAAGCCCUUACUUUAUUUUAAAAUAAAGUCGUUCCCCACUAGAUUGGAUAAGAUAACAGGGAUUAAGACAAGUCAUCAUGGCCUGAAUAUUGUGGGCUAUA
rnacentral:rRNA from 1 species